GUAAGACAUGUUGGAGUGUUGCUGCAGCUCCUCGGUUUCCUCCAGCACCUAAGAUCCAGCUCAGACUCUCUGUGCUGUUCUUACCGUUUGUCUACUGGUUAUUCUGCGACCCGUUGUCUUCUGAAUGCAAAGAAUUACUGAAGUGGAACUGAAGGAAACGUUAUUAUCAUCAUUGGACGCACACUCAUCACGGCUGAUAAAGCUGUCCAGAUCACGUGGAGCACUUGGAAAGGACCUCAGGACCGAUCCAUAUAGAUGCCACCUCAAGAGCCAGGUACACGGGCCAACAUACAAAGACAAACAACCAUUCAUGCCUACAAUCAAUCUAGAGAAUCCAGUUACCCAACACCAAUCUACAUGUCUUGGAUGGUGAAAGGAAGCUGUAGUAACUGGUGAAAACCCCCAGAGACACAGAGGACAUGCAAACGCCACACGAAAGGGGGCUCUAGAGAAUGGAGCUGGAUGAGAUAUACUACACACACCUGCUCUCUGUCCCUCUCUGACACAUGGGUUGGAUGCACUUAAUCCGGUGCUCCCAGGAUCCCCUGAACUGGAGCCAGACAAAGAUCAGCUUUACCUGAUAACACAGUUAGGGAUCAAAAACCCAACCCAGAGCUCUCCAUCAAAAAACCUUAUUGAAGGUUCUGCAGUCCUCUAUGUCUGUGUCUCUUUCACAAAACUUGAUUUUUGUGUGUGGCAGACUUCUUCUUGAACUUUCCACUUUGAAACAGAACGUCAGUGUUAUUUAUCUCUGUGAUAUGAUCGUCUUUUCAUGUGCUUUUGUGUAGCCAAUUAACUCUCUCAGUAAUUGACAUUUUUUGCUUGUGAUCUAGUGAGUGUUUCCUCAGAAUUUACCCUCAUUAGCUUCAAAUAGUUAGAAGCUUAUGCAAGUUUAAUGCCCCUAAAAAGUGCUUUGAACUCUACACGUCCUACAUACAGCAAACAAAACAUUUUCUUUUUCCUUUUGGGCAUAUUACACAUUUAUUUGUGUGUGCUUUUAUACAGCAUAUAGAAUAAAUCUAU